AUGCACUUUCUUCCCCGGCUUCCACUCUUCUUCCUCCUCUCUUCCCCAUCGUCGGUCGCACACCAUUUCCCCCCGCUCACUGCUCGCCCGCCCGCGCUAUCUUCCUCGGUAGCUCGCGCGUACCAUAUCCCCCCGCUCACUGCUCGGCCACACGAGGAGAAGCUUCUUCGCUCGCCCGCCCGAAUCCAUUUCCCCGCUGGCUCGCAGUACCAUAUAACUGGAAUUAACCCAUGCAAGUCGAAGAAGGAUUGGCCGGUGCUGCCGGCUGGCGUCAAGUUCGAUCCCAUGGAUCAGGAGCUGAUCGAGCACCUUGAGGCCAAAGUGAGUGCUGACAGCGCGAGAUCUCACCCUCUCAUCGAUUUGUUCAUACCAACCAUCGACAGCGAGCACGGCAUAUGCUACACCCAUCCUGAGAAACUUCCAGACCUGCGCAAUUCCAUGGCAUUCAAAAGGGGCACAUGGACGCGUCGCAAGAUACAGUCGGAGUGCGGCAUGCACGCGGUGUGGCACAACACCGGCAAUACCUUGCCGGUGAUGGUCAACGGCCGGCAGACAGGCAGCAAAAAGGUUCUGGUGCUGCACACUAACAAGAACUUCGACCAGCAGAGAACCAACUGGGUGAUGCACCAGUACCACCUCGGGGACCUGGAGCAAGAGAAGGAGCGGGAGCUGGUCAUCUGCAAGAUUUUCUACCAUACGAACACUAGUGCCAGGAGUAACAAGAUUAUAAGUUAG
rnacentral:rRNA from 1 species